rnacentral:lncRNA from 1 species
CGGUUUUCUUUCCGUACGAUCCGCGUCCCCACAGCGUUUGUGUGCACGAGCGACCGCUUGCUAUGCACGUUGUCGGGCCGCAAGGCGCGAUCGUCGCCCACGGCAGCUAUUCUCGUCGGCUGUCGUGCUUUCCUUCAAAAAAAAGAGGGGGAUGCGAUUGGAGACAGAGGCUGGAAUCGGAGCGUAUGCCGUUGCGAGUCCUCCGUGUCGACAAAAGGAGAAGAAGAAGAAGCAAAAAGCCCACACAGACAAAUACGAAUAAGAGGGAGAGAGACGAGCCGGGGCGACGACCUUAGGAACGCCCUGUAGAGAACAGAAGCACAAAAGAAAUACCGGAGCAGAGAAACAACAGAGACACCACACGCCAAUGUGCCGAUUCGUCAAUAGCACACGGGAAUCGCGACCAAUGCCCCACCGAAAACGAACGAUCUCACCGCACCGUCGUCUCGCAUGGCGCGGCUGCUGGCGUCGUUGCGCAGACAGACACAGCACGCGUGCGCGCACGCAUUGAGCCGCAGCAAACUGUCCCAGGCAGGGCAACACGCCAUAGGGAAAAAAUAGUCCCUGGCGGAAAAAAAUGGGAGCGAAAAGAGAGAGAGAAUAGGCGAAAAAGAACAAUCCGCCGCAGCAAAAAACGGCCCCAUUUUUUGCAUGACAAAAGGCCCCACUGACGCGUCCCUCCUCAUAUAUGCCUCGUAAAAAAAAAGAAGAGAUAACAUAACAGGUGUUUUU